UACGGAGAGUGCAAACGUUGUUCGGAUUUACUGGGCGUAAAGGGCACGUAGGCGGCUCGGCAAAUCGGUCGUGGAAUCCCGACGCUUAACGUUGGAACGGCGAUCGAAAAUACCGGGCUCGAGGGCGUGAGGGGUCACUGGAACUCCUGGUGACGCGGUGAAAUGCGUAGAUAUCAGGAGGAACGCCGGAGGCGAAAGCGAGUGACUGGCGCGUUCCUGACGCUGAGGUGCGAAAGCUAGGGGAGCAAACAGG
rnacentral:rRNA from 1 species